AAGAUUAUUUUUGUCUCGGCUUCUUUUAUAGUCUUUGAUGCAACAACCUGGUGUGCGUUGCAUCAAGCCUGCAGAAAAUCCCCCGCUUUCUCUUGUUUUUCCAGACAUCCUGGGCCCAGCCGACAGGCACCGCAGGCUGAAGGGAAGGAGCCGCCGGCGCCUCGCCGCUCCCUGAGGGGCGAUGGAAGGGGCGCGGGGCCGGGGCCCCUUCUGGAGCCCUCAGAGGGGAGCUGGGCGCUGGGGCCUCCACAUCAUCGAGCCCUCUUGAAGAGCAGAGGGAAAGGAGAGGAGCAAGGAAGGAAAAUCAAAAAAAUAAUAAUAAAAACAAAAAUCCCGACGACGCCGCGAUCACGAGUCGGCGCCCGCCAUCCCCCCACCCCCUACAGCCAAGAUGGCGGCGGCAGGAGGCGGUGCGCAGGGGAGGGGGGAUCCCGGCCGAGCCGCCCACACGGCGGGGCGGCGGUGAACGCGGCCAGGGCGAGCGGGGCUCCGCUGCCAUGCGAUAAGGGCGAGAGGGGGACCCAGCGCCCUCCCUGCGCCCCUUCGCCCUCCCUCCCCGCUCCUCGGCGCCGGGGGGGCAGGAGGCGCCGCCGCCGGCUGCCGUUCCCCCUGCCCCCGGGGAGCGCGGCCCCCCGCCUGAGGUGAGGGCUGCGGGGCGCGGCGGGUGGUGGUGGUGCUGUGGGGGGGCUCGGCGGGCUGUCACCGGGCCGGGGAGCGCUGAGGAGGGUUUGAAGCGGCGGGGAAGGGCGAGGGGCCGCCGGCGUGGGCCUCGGCGGGGCUGCCCGGUGCUGCGAGCGGGCUCCGGGGCCGCCCCUCACGCGGGGCUGCGGCGGGAAGGGGGGAGCUGAGGAGGGCGGGCGGCCCUCGCCUCGCCGCCUCCUCCCCGCGCCGGUAACUUUCCGUUUUGCUGCGGUGGGAGCUGGGGGGGAAACUUUGGGCUCUUCCCCGAGCCCUCAGGCGGUCACCGGGCUGGGCUGAGGGCCUGGAGCGGCGUGGGGAGGCUCCCCUCACGGCGCGGUCCCCUCAGCGCAGCCCCCUGCCAUGUUCCUGCUCCUCCUCCCCGGGGGGCUGCUCGGGAGAAACUUGCCGAGGUGCCCGUGCCCCAAAACGCCGGCUUUUCCAGGCGAGGCACGGUGGUGUUGAGUUCCCUGCGUGUUUGUUUUUUUUUUUUUUUUCUCGCAACUUUCCCCCCAGCAGCUCGGGUGGCCGGCGGCGGGACCGAGCCCUGACAUUGUCAGGCGGUUCCGUCAUGGUGUCGGCGUGAGGCGUGAGCCUGUGGGCCGGGGGGUGCUGGCGUUUAAUAACUCCUCGGCCGUGCUUCUUAUUUCGGGAGAAAUUUUUUAAAGUGGGCUGCCCCUGAGAGUGUCGAUUUGCUAGAAAUGAGGUCUCGGCGCCCGGUUCUGAAGUUUAUUUAUUUAUUUUUUUUAAUGAACUGAAUAGAAACGUGGUGUUCUGGACAGCUUUUUACUUUGUUUCACAAUUAUUUUUUUUUCUGGAACUGUUGCUCAACUAGAGGUUUCUGUAAAGACUGUUACAUUACGGUACGUAAUCUUUCACUUUCUGAAUGAUUAAACUCCAAUAUUUAACCUUGGCGAGUAUCUGUGGUGGUUUAGGAAAAGCGAUUGGGUUAGUCUGGCCAAGAAAGGUCAAGGGGAGUAAAUGGAUUUUUUCUGGUUUCUGUGUUGAGUAUACAAGUCUUACUUCGAGUAAGAAGAGAGUCUUCCGUUUCUCUUUUUAUUAAAAAAUAUAUAUAUAUAUUUAGAGUAUUGGUGAAACUCGAUCCUGCUUUUACAGUACUGGGGAAGUCCAUAUGCGUGUUUAAAGUGAAGGUUGAAGUGGAACUGCGUCUCUGGUAAACGAAGCAACUUUUUCUUGGGGGUAAUUGUGACUUGGCAUUGAAACUGUUUAAUUAUCAAGAAUAGGGCAUUAGUUUUUGUGGUUAACUUUAGGGGAAGGAGAAAAUUGCAUGGAGCCUUAAAGAUGGAACAACAAAAAAAAAGACUGUGCUUCUCUACAGCCUUCAGAGCUUGCAUAAUGUGCAUAUUUUACUUAUUCUAGAAGCAUUAGGGUCCAGCUGGAUGAGGAACUUUCCUCAAGUUUAUGAGAAGCUUCUGCUCCUUUGGAACACGCUUUCCCAACGGUCUCGUCUAAAUAGUGCAUUUACCAAAAGCUAGCAUAAAAGAUAAGAUCUGGUUUUGUGAACGGUAAGGCAAAAGGCGCUAUGACCAUUUUUUAAAAUACAGGCUUACUUAGAUAUGUUUUUCCAGUAUGAAGUAUUUGUUUUUCCGUAUGUAUGCUGGAGUUUUGGUACUCUUUGUGGCAAUGUGGUUGCAGGUCCUUGUUUCUUGUGAGCAGCUUUUUCUGUAUGCUUUUCCUGGAUAUUACACCCGUAUAGGGCUUAAUGGAAUUUCUAUAUGUGUUAAUGGCAAUGUUAACUACUCUGUAUUUACAUAGCCAGAGUUAAUUAUUACUUAGUAAAAGCAUAAAUAUUGACAGAGCCUGGCUUGUUCUAUAGGGCGUACAUGAGUGCAGCUGAUCUCUGUGCAGCAUUAGGAACAGCGUAAAUAAAUAAGUCUCAUUUAAGAUACA
rnacentral:lncRNA from 1 species